rnacentral:sRNA from 1 species
AAAAAAGAAGAAGUGCGGCGUCGACAGCU